rnacentral:rRNA from 1 species
CAGUCGAACGGAGAUAUACGCAGAGGCGAUUUCGGUCAAAUCAUGUGUAAUCUUAGUGGCGGACGGGUGAGUAACGCGUGGGUAACCUGCCUUACACUGGGGGAUAACACUUAGAAAUAGGUGCUAAUACCGCAUAAGCGCACGAAGCCGCAUGGAUUUGUGUGAAAAACUCCGGUGGUGUAAGAUGGACCCGCGUCUGAUUAGCUUGUUGGCGGGGUAACGGCCCACCAAGGCGACGAUCAGUAGCCGGCCUGAGAGGGUGGACGGCCACAUUGGGACUGAGACACGGCCCAAACUCCUACGGGAGGCAGCAGUGGGGGAUAUUGGACAAUGGGGGGAACCCUGAUCCAGCGACGCCGCGUGAGUGAAGAAGUAUUUCGGUAUGUAAAGCUCUGUCAGCAGGGAAGAAAGAAAUGACGGUACCUGACCAAGAAGCCACGGCUAACUACGUGCCAGCAGCCGCGGUAAUACGUAGGUGGCAAGCGUUAUCCGGAUUUACUGGGUGUAAAGGGCGUGUUUUCGGNACUGCAAGUCAGAUGUGAAAACCANGGGCUCAACCUGUGGCCUGCAUUUUGA